UCGGCGGCGCAACAGGCGGCACUCGAGGGCCAUCUCUAUGGAAUUUCGGCGUUACUUGCAGUUAGUACUACCGGGUUACCAAGAUCGUCAUCCGUGGUUGUUUCAAUGUUGUAAUCUAUUUUCUGCCAACACAAGGACUAUAAUUCAGCAAGUACAAGCAUGUUUGUUUCACCGGCAGAAAACUUGUGGAAGCUAUGGAAAAUUUACCUCCUCAUCGAUAUAUUCAGAUGAUUUUGCUUCCUCUUCCUCACAGGUCUGUCCUAUUUUCUGCCAACACAAGGACUAUAAUUCAGCAAGUACAAGCAUGUUUGUUUCACCGGCAGAAAACUUGUAGAAGCCAUGGAAAAUUUACCUCCUCAUCGAUAUAUUCAGAUGAUUUUGCUUCCUCUUCCUCACAGGUUUGUCCUAUUUUCUGCCAACACAAGGACUAUAGUUCAGCAAGUACAAGCAUGUUUGUUUCACCGGCAGAAAACUUGUAGAAGCUAUGGAAAAUUUACCUCCUCAUCGAUAUAUUCAGAUGAUUUUGCUUCCUCUUCCUCACAGGCAGGCGUACCUUGUGGACCACAGCCGGUUGGUGUUCUGUUUAAUUCUGCUCAAGAGCGCAACAACAAUUGCGAACUCGUGCAGAUAUCGGACGAAGUCGGUAGAACGGCGGUGUCUAAAGGAAUCUCCUGUUGAGGUAGUAUUCGAGGGAGUCGAGCAGUAUUUAUAGCUAACUUUGGCUUGAGGAACGGGCAAAAUUGCGUGUACAUGCAGGAGAGCAAGAGUUUUCCUCUGGUA